rnacentral:rRNA from 1 species
GAGCACUCUAAGGAGACUAGCCGGUGAUAAGCCGCGANGAAGGUGGGGAUGACUUCAAGUCCUCAUGGCCCUUACGGGCUGGGCUACACACGUGCUACAAUGGCGGUGACAAUGGGACGCUAAGGGGCAACCCUUCGCAAAUCUCAAAAAGCCGUCUCAGUUCGGAUUGGGCUCUGCAACUCGAGCCCAUGAAGUUGGAAUCGCUAGUAAUCGUGGAUCAGCAUGCCACGGUGAAUACGUUCCCGGGCCUUGUACACACCGCCCGUCACACCAUGGGAGUUGGUUUUACCUGAAGGUAGUGCGCUAACCGCAAGGGGGCAGCUAACCACGGUAGGG